GAUGAACGCUGGCGGCGUGCCUAAUACAUGCAAGUCGAGCGAACAGACGAGGAGCUUGCUCCUCUGACGUUAGCGGCGGACGGGUGAGUAACACGUGGAUAACCUACCUAUAAGACUGGGAUAACUUCGGGAAACCGGAGCUAAUACCGGAUAACAUGUUGAACCGCAUGGUUCAACAGUGAAAGACGGUCUUGCUGUCACUUAUAGAUGGAUCCGCGCCGCAUUAGCUAGUUGGUAAGGUAACGGCUUACCAAGGCAACGAUGCGUAGCCGACCUGAGAGGGUGAUCGGCCACACUGGAACUGAGACACGGUCCAGACUCCUACGGGAGGCAGCAGUAGGGAAUCUUCCGCAAUGGGCGAAAGCCUGACGGAGCAACGCCGCGUGAGUGAAGAAGGUCUUCGGAUCGUAAAACUCUGUUAUUAGGGAAGAACAAAUGUGUAAGUAACUAUGCACGUCUUGACGGUACCUAAUCAGGAAGCCACGGCUAACUACGUG
rnacentral:rRNA from 1 species